rnacentral:lncRNA from 1 species
UGGCUCGCAAUUCUGCCGAUUUUGAGAGCAUUCCAAAAGUUGGGCGCGGUCGAUUCGAGGUGCCAGUUCACAAUCUCAGUGUUUCGGUCCAAGGAUUGUUGCUUUGCUUAGCCUGAUUGAUUUGCAAUUUUCAGCUUUGUUCAUCAAUAAAAGGUCCACUUCUCAAUUUCAAUUCUCAUUUCAUUGUGUUAUAAUAGCUUGGUGUGCGUGUUGGUUGAUUUGUGAUUCUAUGUUGUUUGAGUAUCAUGUUUUAGUUGUCAUUUAAAUUAUUUUGAUUAGUUUUUAUUUCGAUUGUAAUGUAUGUAGUCUUGGUUCUUGAAUAAAUGCUUUUAAUCGGGCCAAUGAAAAAUCGGAGUUAUUUCUUUCUUGGCAAGGAAUAAGAAUGGGUCAUAAGGUGGGUUUUGGACCACAAGGAAUUUGGCCAAGUAAUAAAUCAUGUUGGCUAGAUUAUUUCCCCCAAUAAUAUUUUGUUCAAAAAUUUGGCCUUACAACAAUCUCGAAGAUUAAGAGUACACGGAGUUUGCAUGUGUGGCCAUUGGUUGAGCGUGUGUUCUGCUAAUGUAUUGUGUCCAAGCUGGACCAUUUUUGCAAUGAAUAAUUGAAUUAAAAGAACAUUGGAUCAAGAGAGCAAGAAAGUGACAAAAAUUGAAAGUGAUAGUAGCGUGUUAUAUUGCUUCUGGCAUUAGCUUGGUUGCUGCACCCCUUUAUUUUCUUUAUUUUGCAAUGAAGGCGACUUAAUAAAUUAUCGUGGUUGUGUACACGUUCGCGUGGCAUAGUUACGAUUCCAGAAAUUAAAACCAAGGUAUGCGUUCGCGCAACUUUGGGUGAAGCAAUCUUAUUAAUAAUAAGGCGUGAUUAAUUGUGGAUACGUACGCGUGACACGAUUUUUGACGCGCCAAAUGAAAUGAGUACACGUACGCGUGACUCGUUUUUUAAAGAUAAUUCCAUAAUUAAUAGUAAUUGAGAAAAUAAAAGCGGUUAAGGGGGUAGAUGCACAUAGGUUUGAAAAUAAGUAAUUAGACAAUUUAGUAAGCCAAGUAUAAUCAAAGCGACCGUGCUAGAACCACGGAACUCGGGAGUGCCUAACACCUUUUCCCGGGUUAACAUAAUUUCUUACCCGAAUUUCUGUGUUCGCGGACCGAUAAUAGAGUCAAACUUCCUCGAUUCGGGAUUUUAAACCGGUGACUUGAGAGACCAUAAAUUAUCCCAAGUGGCGACUCUAAUCUUCAAAAUAAUUAAUCCCGUUUCGGUUAUUGUCACUUUAAUUUGAAAAAACUCCCUUAUAUCUCUUCCGUGGUAUAGGUAAAAAGGAGGUGUGACAACCACAUGCUAGAGAAAAACAAAAAAUAUUCUUUUAAGUAGGGACCACACACAUUCUUAUCUGGAUGGCUUUUUCUUGGCCAACACUGCUGCAUAUAUACACAUACACGCUGAUAUAUAGAGAGGAAGGGGGAAGAGGGGGCUGGAGAGGAAAAACGAAAGAGAGGGGACAGAUCUGGGGAACGAAAGGGCUGGGGAUCGCACAAAAACACAGAGCUAUCUUCUUCCUUUCCCAAGCACAAAAACACAAAGUUUCAACACCAUGUAAAUUCUCCAUAGCCUAUUACAUCCAUCUAUGAAAGAAGCUCCAUUGCUUCACCAUUAAACCAUCACAAAUAAGCCCCAAAAUCACCACAAAAACACCUCGUGUAAACCACUUGAAGCCAUCUUAAAUUCAAGUGAAACCUCGUUCUACAGUUCCGGCGGAAACAGAGGUGAGUGAACGACCAACUGCUGGUCAUUUUCGAGUCGAGCUGACGAGCUUUCCGUUAGCAGAUCCGAGGUGCCGAUUCGAGGUAUGUUGUUUUCUUCUUUAUCGUUUUGCUUGGAAGAUCAUGCUUGGUUAAAUUUUUGUAAUCUGUUAUGGGUGCUAAAUAUUUUGUCGUAGAAAUCAUUUUCACUUAGUUGGUCUCAUGUUGGUUACUUCAUUUUCUUGUUAAUCAUGAAAGUUGCAAACAUUAGUUGACUGCCAUUUUGUGGUGGUGAAGAUUUACUUGUGGUGCCUUUUUUGACCGGCACCAUUACAGCAAAAUUCACGUAUUGGCAUAUUCUUGUGGUUGGUGCCAAAAUUCCUGAAAUGUCCUGGUGAGACGUUGUUGAGAAACGUCGCCAAUUAGUUGUUUUUUCCUUUUCAUGGUAGAUACAUAGAAAAACUGUAUGUCACCAUCUGAUCUCGACCUGAGCAGCAAAAUUGAUGGUGAAUUUGAUAGUUGUGCUUUAUGAGAAAAUUUUAAGAUCUUUAAAUUUGAUUUGGUACAUUAAUUAGUGGUUGAUUUCGUGUUUGAUUCUAAAUAAAAUUGGCGAAAUCUAGUUAUUUUUGUCUAUUCACGUUAGAAUAUGUUGAGGCGUGUCGUGCCAAAUAAAAUCUCAAAAUGCGUGACCCUCAUUUAAUUAUUUCUUUUAAUCCUUAAAAAUCGAGGUGUGCCAUUUAGCGAAUUUUCAUGGCCCUCGCAAAUUUAAAAACGCGUAGUUGCUUUAGGCGCGUAAUUUAAAUUAAUUUCCUUAAACCCGGGUGUGCAUUUCAUGUGACCCAAAUCCAAAAUCUCCACAAUGUUAAAUAAAAUGUGUCUCGGACUGCGGGUGCAUUUCAUGUGGUGUGGUCCAAAGACGUGUUUUAGAUGACGUUGAAAUCUUCCUUAAAAAUAAUCAAAAGCGGCUAGUAAGUUAAAAAUGUACCAAAGGCUAAAACUUGUAUUAAAAUCAGAUAACAG